GAAGGAACUAGGCAAAAUGGUGCCGUAACUUCGGGAGAAGGCACGCUGGUGUGUAGGUGAAGUCCCUGCGGAUGGAGCUGAGACCAGUCGAAGAUACCAGCUGGCUGCAACUGUUUAUUAAAAACACAGCACUGUGCAAACACGAAAGUGGACGUAUACGGUGUGACGCCUGCCCGGUGCCGGAAGGUUAAUUGAUGGGGUUAUCCGUAAGGAGAAGCUCUUGAUCGAAGCCCCGGUAAACGGCGGCCGUAACUAUAACGGUCCUAAGGUAGCGAAAUUCCUUGUCGGGUAAGUUCCGACCUGCACGAAUGGCGUAAUGAUGGCCAGGCUGUCUCCACCCGAGACUCAGUGAAAUUGAACUCGCUGUGAAGAUGCAGUGUACCCGCGGCAAGACGGAAAGACCCCGUGAACCUUUACUAUAGCUUGACACUGAACAUUGAGCCUUGAUGUGUAGGAUAGGUGGGAGGCUUUGAAGCGUGGACGCCAGUCUGCGUGGAGCCAACCUUGAAAUACCACCCUUUAAUGUUUGAUGUUCUAACGUUGGCCCCUGACCGGGGUUGCGGACAGUGUCUGGUGGGUAGUUUGACUGGGGCGGUCUCCUCCCAAAGCGUAACGGAGGAGCACGAAGGUUAGCUAAUCCUGGUCGGACAUCAGGAGGUUAGUGCAAUGGCAUAAGCUAGCUUGACUGCGAGCGUGACGGCGCGAGCAGGUGCGAAAGCAGGUCAUAGUGAUCCGGUGGUUCUGAAUGGAAGGGCCAUCGCUCAACGGAUAAAAGGUACUCCGGGGAUAACAGGCUGAUACCGCCCAAGAGUUCAUAUCGACGGCGGUGUUUGGCACCUCGAUGUCGGCUCAUCACAUCCUGGGGCUGAAGUAGGUCCCAAGGGUAUGGCUGUUCGCCAUUUAAAGUGGUACGCGAGCUGGGUUUAGAACGUCGUGAGACAGUUCGGUCCCUAUCUGCCGUGGGCGCUGGAGAAUUGAGGGGGGCUGCUCCUAGUACGAGAGGACCGGAGUGGACGCAUCACUGGUGUUCGGGUUGUCAUGCCAAUGGCACUGCCCGGUAGCUAAAUGCGGAAGAGAUAAGUGCUGAAAGCAUCUAAGCACGAAACUUGCCCCGAGAUGAGUUCUCCCUGAGACUUUAAGUCUCCUGAAGGAACGUUAAAGACGAUGACGUUGAUAGGCCGGGUGUGUAAGCGCAGCGAUGCGUUGAGCUAACCGGUACUAAUGAACCGUGAGGCUUAACCUU
rnacentral:rRNA from 1 species